rnacentral:sRNA from 1 species
UUAGAUCGAGGAGUAUAAGUUCGCUCUUACGUCGCCUCUAGCCAUCCGUCUUGGCUAAACGAUCUCUUUAUGCUUCUACCAUGAUUUUUCGUCAUGUAUCAUCACAUCAGCCAAAAGUUGUUAUGUCACCAUCUUCGUCAGAGCGCUGACCCACUUUAAGGAGUACUUUCGUCCACUGAAUUCCACGUGGACCAAAAUGUGGCAGAUUUUGAAAAGAGUUUCAGAAUAUAGCUGGGAUUGAAAGAAAUAAAGUGGAAUAUGGCAGAUUUUACAAGAUUCCCUUAUAUAAAUGGUUUAGGUUUAGUAGAAAGAUCAUUUUGUACUGUAUUCUUAUAUGUAAAUUUUUGUAAGCUGUUUCGUUAACCUUAAAAGAUCAAUAUAUGGAUUCUAGUUAACAAAAAAAAAAAAAAGAUAAAUUGCAAAUGAUGUAACGGGAUUAUAUGAAUUGAUUAACA